rnacentral:misc_RNA from 1 species
AUUUUACUCCUCCGUCUCUUACUCGACGGUAUCGCCUUCUCCGUCGAUCGGCGUUUGAAAAUUCGAUUUGUUUCUCCGAUUUCAAGCCAUGGAUUUCGAAGAUCAUGAUAACGUGAAGAAUAUGGCUAAGGACGUUGAAGUGAAAGGAUUCAACCCAGGAUUAAUUGUUUUAAUAGUUGUCGGUGGGCUUCUGUUGACAUUCCUUGUUGGGAACUACUUGCUUUACAUGUAUGCACAGAAAACCCUUCCUCCAAAGAAAAAGAAGCCAGUUUCCAAGAAGAAGAUGAAGAAAGAAAGACUGAAGCAAGGUGUUUCA